rnacentral:tRNA from 1 species
GGGCCGGUGGUCUAGCGGCUAUGACGCUGCCCUUACGAGGCAGAGGUCGUGGGUUCGAGUCCCACCCGGCCCA